rnacentral:lncRNA from 1 species
UGCCUCUUAGGCUUCCUGAAGGAAGGCUGUGAGCUCAUCAACGAGGCUCUGAACCUGUUCAACAAUGUCUAUGGAGCCAUGCAUGUGGAGAUCUGUGCCUGUUUGCGGCUUCUGGCCCGCCUCCACUACAUCAUGGGGGAUUAUGCUGAGGCCCUCAGUAAUCAGCAGAAGGCUGUGCUGAUGAGUGAGCGGGUGGUGGGCAUUGAGCACCCCAACACCAUCCAGGAAUAUAUGCACCUGGCCCUCUACUGCUUUGCCAGCAGCCAGCUGUCCACAGCCCUGAGCCUCCUGUACCGUGCCCGCUACCUCAUGCUGCUUGUGUUUGGGGAGGACCAUCCUGAGAUGGCAUUGUUGGAUAACAACAUCGGGCUGGUGCUGCAUGGCGUAAUGGAGUACGAUCUAUCCCUGCGCUU